AGAGUUUGAUAGAGGAAAGCAGAAUUUCUAGUGUAGAGGUGAAAUUCGUAGAUAUUAGAAAGAAUACCAAUUGCGAAGGCAGCUUUCUGGAUCAUUACUGACACUGAGGAACGAAAGCAUGGGUAGCGAAGAGGAUUAGAUACCCUCGUAGUCCAUGCCGUAAACGAUGUGUGUUAGACGUUGGAAAUUUAUUUUCAGUGUCGCAGCGAAAGCGAUAAACACACCGCCUGGGGAGUACGACCGCAAGGUUAAAACUCAAAUGAAUUGACGGGGACCCGCACAAGUAGUGGAGCAUGUGGUUUAAUUCGAAGAUACGCGCAGAACCUUACCAACACUUGACAUGUUCGUCGCGACUCUAAGAGAUUAGAGUUUUCGGUUCGGCCGGACGAAACACAGGUGCUGCAUGGCUGUCGUCAGCUCGUGUCGUGAGAUGUUGGGUUAAGUCCCGCAACGAGCGCAACCCUCACUUUUAGUUGCCAUCAUUAAGUUGGGCACUCUGAAAGAACUGCCAGUGAUAAGCUGGAGGAAGGUGGGGAUGACGUCAAGUCCUCAUGGCCCUUACGUGUUGGGCUACACACGUGCUACAAUGGUAUCUACAACAGGAAGCAAGACUGCGAAGUUAAGCAAAUCCCUAAAAGAUACCUCAGUUCGGAUUGCACUCUGCAACUCGAGUGCAUGAAGCUGGAAUUACUAGUAAUCGUGGAUCAGCGUGCCACGGUGAAUGCGUUCCCGGGUCUUGUACACACCGCCCGUCACACCAUGGGAGUUGGUUCUACCUUAAGGCAAGGUUUUAAACCCUUGACCACGGUAUAGUCAGCGACUGGGGUGAAGUCGUAACAAGGUAGCCGUAGGGGAACCUGC
rnacentral:rRNA from 1 species